UACGAAGGGGGCUAGCGUUGCUCGGAAUUACUGGGCGUAAAGGGCGCGUAGGCGGCGCAAGUAGUCAGGCGUGAAAUUCCUGGGCUUAACCUGGGGGCUGCGCUUGAUUCGCUUGUGCUAGAGGAUGGAAGAGGCUCGUGGAAUUCCCAGUGUAGAGGUGGAAUUCGUAGAUAUUGGGAAGAACACCGGUGGCGAAGGCGGCGAGCUGGUCCAUUACUGACGCUGAGGCGCGACAGCGUGGGGAGCAAACAGG
rnacentral:rRNA from 1 species